UAAUACUUUUUGAAUGCUUAAACGACAAGUAAAUGUAAAUGGGGUUUUGAAGGUUAGGUUCGAAGUUUGAAGUUUGAACAUUAGGUUUAAGAGAAAAAGUAGGUGGCUGGACGUUUACAUUACUAAAUAUUAUUACUCUCUGGUUUCAAAGUUCCAACUGUACCGAUAUAUCCUAUUUACUAGCUCGUGCUCUGCAAAUGAAACUUCCAGAGAAUACUUAGUCAUUAAGCUAUGAUCUUUCUCUCUUUCCGUCUAAACUGAUCCAAGUGUGUGUAUAUAUAGAGAGGGCUCUAUUUUUUUUCUGAGCACGUCGAUCAUAUAGAUAUUCCAUAGCUACAAUGCCUCCGCCAUGGGGACCACCGCCUCCGGGGCCUGGCGGACCACCCGGCCCAUGUGGUUGUUUCGGUUUUCUUUGUGAUGGUGUUUGCCGUCUUGUCUCUUCUUGUGCUUAUAUCCUCUGCUGCUGCUGCAUACUGGAGAGAUGCUGUCCACCACUGUUUGGUGGGCCAGGGGGUCCAGGUGGGCCAGGGGGUCCAGGUGGCCCACCAGGUCCUUUUGGUGGGCCUCCUCGCUUCUGAUGGGUUCAUUACCAAGAGUGCCAACGAAUGCUUUUGCAAUUUGCAGUCGAUUGAAUGGACGAAAUUUCUUGCAUUUUAUGGCACUAAAGUUGGGAAUUAGUGUUAUUAAUGGGGCCAGAUGAAGUUAUUUGAUUCUUGAACUAGAACUGUAUUAAAAUUUGGCCAUAGUAUAUCAUAUUAUAUAAAUAUGCAUGUUAUUUAAACAUGUAAAGCUUGUAUUUGCUUCCACAUAUUGGUAUUUAUCUGACGAUUUUGUUUAUUACUGCAA